rnacentral:snoRNA from 1 species
ACGACCUUACUUAAACAGGAUCUGUUCUAUAUGCUCGUACCGUUGCAUCCUUUAGUCUGGUUCAUGAGACAUGACUUCUGGGCCAGAGCGUGAUUAACUAACUGCCAGGAUGCCCAGGAUCAUCUGGGCCAUCCGUCGGCUGUAGAGGAUCGUUCCUGCCUUGGUGUUUCAUUCAGUGCAGGGUGGCCCAGGGGUUGUCUGACAGGAC